GAUGAACGCUGGCGGCGUGCUUAACACAUGCAAGUCGAACGAAGCUGCUAAAAGGAAGUCUUCGGAUGGAAUUUUGGUAGACUUAGUGGCGGACGGGUGAGUAACGCGUGGAUAACCUGCCUUAUACAGGGGGAUAACGGAGAGAAAUUUCCGCUAAGACCGCAUAAGACCACAGCACCGCAUGGUGCAGAGGUAAAAUAUUUAUAGGUAUAAGAUGGAUCCGCGUCCGAUUAGCUAGUUGGUGAGGUAGAGGCUCACCAAGGCGACGAUCGGUAGCCGGCCUGAGAGGGUGAACGGCCACAUUGGGACUGAGACACGGCCCAAACUCCUACGGGAGGCAGCAGUGGGGAAUAUUGGACAAUGGGGGAAACCCUGAUCCAGCGACGCCGCGUGAGUGAAGAAGUAUUUCGGUAUGUAAAGCUCUAUCAGCAGGGAAGAAAAUGACG
rnacentral:rRNA from 1 species